UUAAAUUGAAGAGUUUGAUCAUGGCUCAGAUUGAACGCUGGCGGCAGGCCUAACACAUGCAAGUCGAACGGUAACAGGAAGCAGCUUGCUGCUUUGCUGACGAGUGGCGGACGGGUGAGUAAUGUCUGGGAAACUGCCCGAUGGAGGGGGAUAACUACUGGAAACGGUGGCUAAUACCGCAUAACGUCGCAAGACCAAAGAGGGGGACCUUCGGGCCUCUUGCCAUCAGAUGUGCCCAGAUGGGAUUAGCUUGUUGGUGAGGUAACGGCUCACCAAGGCGACGAUCCCUAGCUGGUCUGAGAGGAUGACCAGCCACACUGGAACUGAGACACGGUCCAGACUCCUACGGGAGGCAGCAGUGGGGAAUAUUGCACAAUGGGCGCAAGCCUGAUGCAGCCAUGCCGCGUGUAUGAAGAAGGCCUUCGGGUUGUAAAGUAC
rnacentral:rRNA from 1 species